AUGUCUCCUCCGCCGCCACCCUUCCUCUACCUCCUCCUCCCGCUCCUCCUCAUCGUCUCCGGCGCUGAGCCAGCCGGCGGCAGCUGCGGUGGCGGGGCCGAAAGCUGCGGCGACAUCGCGCUCCCGUUCCCCUUCCACCUCAACUCCUCCGCCGCCUGCGCCGACGCCGAUGGUAACUCCUCGUCCCUCUUCCACCUCUCCUGCGACGGCGGCGGUGGCCACAAUGCGACGCUCACCCUCACGCUCGGCGCCGCGGCCUUCCGCGUCCUGGAGUUCCUCCCCACGGGCGCCUCCCUCCUCCUCGACUACGCCGCGCCCGCGGCCCCGCCGUGCGACCCGGGGUACGCCGCGUUCUCGCGCCCGUCCUCCCCGGCGGCCGCGCUCGACGCCGCCGCGUCCUUCCUCGCCGUCGCGCCGGCCAACGUGCUCCGCCUCUACGCCUGCGAGGACUCCUCGCUCUGCCGCGCCGGCUGUGACGACGUGGCCGCGCCGGCCUGCGCCGGGAAGAAGCCCGCGGCUGCCGGGUGCUGCUACCCGCUCUCCGACGGCAGCGUGUGGAAGCCCGGGGACGGGCUCGGCGUGUUCGCCGGAUUCGGGUGCCGGGGCUUCUCCAGCUGGGUCAAGAACCGCUCGUCGUCGGCGACGGCGGGCGUGAUGAGAGCGAUCGAGGUGGAGUGGGCCCUGCCGAGGGGCUCCGCGCUCGCUGCGUGCGCCGACGGCGCCAGGCUCGUCAACUCCACGACGGUGCGCGGCGGCGUGCGGUGCGCGUGCGCGCCCGGGCUCGUUGGUGAUGGCUUUGUGCACGGCACCGGCUGCUCCAAGCGGCUCGAGUGCGGCGAUGGCGACGGCGCUGCUUGUUGCCAGGGAAGGUUCUGCUCCAAGAAGGCGGUGGCGCUCGCCGGGUUCUUCGUGUCGGUGUUCUUCCUCGCUGCGGCGGUCUCGUUCUGGCUGUUCCUCCGGCAGCCUUCCGGCGACGUGAGCCAGCGGUGGGACGACCUGGACCCGGCGUGCAUCCCCAAGAUCAUCGGGGGCGUGUGCAACGCGAGGCAGUUCACGUACGAGCAGCUGGACGCGGCGACGAGGCGGUUCGAGGACGGCGGCGAGAAGCCCGUCGACGCCGAGGGCUUGGUCCACGCCGGCGUGCUCGACGACGGCACCGUGGUGGCGGUGCAGAGGAUCGGGUACGAGACGCAGGACAAGCUGCGGGCGGCCCUUGACGCGGUGUCGCUCCUCCCGGAGGUCUCGCACCCGAACAUCGCCCGCGUCGUCGGCUUCUGCCUGCCGGAGGACCCCGGCGCGCGCGCGCUGCUGCUGGUGCACGAGCACUUCACCGGCGGCACGCUGGAGGACCACCUGCGGCGGACGGUCGGCGGCAGCCGCGCCACCCUCGGCUGGCACCACCGCGUCAGCAUCGCCAUCGAGCUGGCCAGCGCGCUGGCGUACCUGCAGGCGCACGACACGGCGCCGACCUUCCUCCACGACCUCCGCUCCAGCGACGUCUUCCUCGACGCCGACCUCAGCGCCAAGAUCGCCGGCCACAAGCUCGCCUCCUCCUCCUCCACCCCGGCGGCCGCCAGCUACCACCACCACUACUACGGCUCGUCGUCGUCGUCAACAGCCGGGGCGAACGAGCAGGACGUGGUGUGCAACUUCGGGCUGCUUCUGAUCGAGCUGCUCACGGGACUGCGGCACCAGAACCCGUUCGACUCGGUGGCGCCCAAGGUCAGAGAGGGAAGGCUCCACGAGGUCAUCGACCCCACGCUGCUGCUGGCGUCGUCGUCGGGGAAGAAGAGCCAGGGGCAGCUGCCGGCGGCGGCGGAGGAGGUGCGCAAGGUGCUGGAGCUGGCGGUGCGGUGCCUGCUGAGCGCGGAGAACGGGGUCGGGAUGGUGGCGGUGACGCGGGAGCUGAUGCACCUCGUCAGGGACAGCAUGGGGGGCAGCAGCAAGAUCGAGAUCUCCCUGGAGGAGACCUUCUCCAGCUCCAGCCUCCUCCAGAUGAUCUCCAUGUCGCCCGACACCCUACACCGCCACCUCCCGUGA
rnacentral:rRNA from 1 species